ensembl:lncRNA
AGAACAUGGAAUCAUGUAUAGAAAGGAAAUGGAAACAAGCACCUUAGUAAAGGCUGUUUUUAAUGCCCCCAUCUAUAAGCACUGAGCCUGAUAAGUGAGGUAACAUGUCUGGGAAGGUGUUACCUCACUCACCAUUGGGAUUGUCUUCCUAGCCCUGUUCCUGGUAUGUCCACUGUGAUGAAUAGCAGUCCUUGGUUCAUACUUUUCCUUACCUGUAACUCUCCUUUGUGCAACGGAACAAGUUAAAUGCCACAGGCCAGCUCAUGUCUUAGGAUCUCAUGGUCAGUGACAUGGAAGGCCCAAGAUAAAUCAAAAUUCUCUUCCCUGGAGGACAGCCCUUCCUCCACCAGCCUGGGAACUGGGAGGGAACUCUGGGAACUGUGACCUGAGGCUGGGAGCACUGUGCUUUAUCUCUUCAUCAGAAUGCCCUACCUGUGCUUGCCAGUUCCUCUUCUCUGUUUGGUUUCAUUUUUGCUCUUUAGUUUUAACAUGACAGGGCAAAUGAUUUCAGAAGGCAGAGUUUGCUGUAUUCUUUGCUGUGAAGUGGGAGCCUGCUGGGGGUUUGGGUGUUCAUUUUUUCCACUUUGCUUCAGACUCUGAGUGCAUUAGCAGAAUAAAUGCCUCCUAAAAAUAUUGAGGCUCAUUAGGAUGACACGUUGGAGAGAUGAAUGAGUGUGCUCAACGUUGUGUUCCAGGUAAAAUGAAACACAAGUCCUGUUGUUUGUCAAUGAUGAUGCUUGUUAUUGUUCUGAAAGGACAGUUACAGGGUACCUGGCAGUACAUUUAAGCUCAAACAAUCUAAAUUUUCCCAAAGGCACAAGAGCCAAAAUAUGUAGAGAAGAUAAUUGAUAAUUACUUUUGCUUGUAUACUAUUUUGUGAGGAAAUGAGCAUAUUUAAAGGAAAUCUAUAAUCUCAUUAGAAAUCAUAUUUAUAUCAUAAAAAUGAAACAAUUGGUAUUAAAGCAAUUUUUUCCCCAACAGUUUGUAGAACAAGUUCAGAAAGAGAAAUAUCAAAUGCCUUAGAUGUCAAGGUGAUGACUCUCCUGUUGAUGUUAUGAAGUUAUCUAUCAGUUUGUAGGUGAAAUUUAAAUUAAAAACCAUAUUGCUGCAAAGUUUGGAAUCAUGAACGGGCAGGAAUAGUGAAAAUUGGCCUAAUAUGUCUACAGAACAAGGAUGUAAACAUAAAAGCACUGUAUUUCUGAAUUACAACACACUCAUUUCCUAGUAAGCUGCUCAAUCAAUAGCACCAUCCUGAGAUAUCCCUGAGAUCUUAUAUUUGGGGAGUAAAAAGAAAACAGCAGCAGUGGUUUGUCAUCAUGGGGAACUACUGGACUUCUUCAUGUGAAACAGAAAUUCCACCCCAGUUUGUGACUCCCCACUGACUCUUACUGAGAAGGAUGGCAUACAAGCUCCUGAAAAUGAAAAGAGCAGCAGAAAUGCAAGCUCCCCCAUAGGAACUGAGCGAAAAACCCUGUUGACUUAAGAUCUCUUUCCCUGCUUUUAGAACACAUCUGAGACAUCCCGGGGUAGACCACAUGACAUCUAACAUGUUCCUUUCCACCUCUGAGAAGAAAUGCAAAAUGAAAGAAGAGAUAAAUAUCAAGGAAAUCUUACCUGGUGGACAAGAUGGGCCACUUUGUCCAUUGCCUCAAGCCACCUGAAAGACAGUAGGAGCUGUCUUUGGGGAGCUGGAUAAGUGUCACUUGGAGGAGCUUGUUGUUCUUACUGAACCCAUUGUUGAGACAGAACAGUCUUGAGGCUCAGAUAUAUUUCAUUGCUCUACGUUUAUAGUUGAAGAGUGACACAUUUGCAAAAUUGGUGUUACUAGGUGACAAAAUCGUACUUCCACUUGGCAUACUUGAAAUAUUCUUACCCUUUUCCUUUACUAUAGUUUACUUAAUGCCUGAGAAUAAAUGUAGUCAAUCUUUACUAAGGUAUAUGAAUUUAUUAACACCAACAAGGUUAAUAACAAUUGGUACAUUAACUGUAAAGUACUGGCUAUUA